GGAGGGGUGGCCGAGUGGCUUAAGGCGCACGCUUGGAAAGCGUGUUUACCGCAAGGUAACCGGGGUUCGAAUCCCCGUCCCUCCGCCA
rnacentral:tRNA from 1 species